AACGAACGCUGGCGGCAUGCCUAACACAUGCAAGUCGAACGGGACCUCCGGGUCUAGUGGCGCACGGGUGGGUAACACGUGGGAACCUGCCCUUAGGUACGGAAUAACUCACCGAAGGGGGAGCUAAUACCGCAUAAUGUCAUCGGGCCAAAGAUUUAUCGCCUUUGGAUGGGGCCGCGUUGGAUUAGCUGGUUGGUAGGGUAAAAGCCUACCAAGGCGACGAUGCAUAGCUGGUCUGAGAGGAUGAUCAGCCACACUGGGACUGAGACACGGCCCAGACUCCUACGGGAGGCAGCAGUGGGGAAUAUUGGACAAUGGGCGAAAGCCUGAUCCAGCAAUGCCGCGUGAGUGAUGAAGGCCUUAGGGUUGUAAAGCUCUUUUACCCGGGAUGAUAAUGACAGUACCGGGAGAAGAAGCUCCGGCUAACUCCGUG
rnacentral:rRNA from 1 species